CGGCACCCUGGCUCUCACGUGCAUCAGCGGCACCUGCCAGCCCCCGGACUGCAACGCGCUCACGGCCGGACCUCAUCCGCGAUGCUACCUAGACUCGGACUCGGAGCUCUACCAGUGUAAUUACACCGGAAGCAUCAGUUCUGUGAUAUCCGAGUUAAUCAACCAUCAGAAUUUCCCUUUCUCUAGUGACACAACGGAGGACGUACCAGGUUGUUGUGACAAUGGACGAGUCUUAUGCCACGAGUUCCCGCUGCGCUGUGUAGACCGGGAAAAGGUGUGUGAUAAGAACUACGAUUGCAUCACCGGCGAAGACGAGCAUUAUAACACAUGUGAUAACAGAGUGUGUCGCGAGGACGAAUUUCGCUGUACGUCAGGCCAGUGCAUUCCUCAGCACCAACGAUGUGAUACACGGAAAGACUGCGUGGACGAGUCGGACGAAACGGAUUGUUCUCAGGUCAAAUGCAACUUUUCACCAGCCUUCCAGUGCACAUCAGGUCAAUGUGUUCCUAAUGUUUACCAAUGCGAUGGUUCUGAGCAGUGUGUUGACGGCAGUGACGAGCUGGGCUGCGCUUAAGUGUGAUAUCGCUCAUGUUUUCUUGUUUUCAACAGCUAGGUAGCACGAUUUAUCAUUUCGCAUGUUCGUUUAUUUAGGCCGCCGUGAAUGAAGAACUCUUUGAACGUCUUUCAGCUUUUAUCAGUGCUAUUAUCAU